AAGUCGUAACAAGGUUUCCGUAGGUGAACCUGCGGAAGGAUCAUUACCAAAAAAAGAAUAAGGGUCUUUUGACCUUUUUUCACCCCAUGUGAACCGUGAAACCAGUCCUGCGAGGCUUUGACAAUUUUUGGUCGGGGGGGAUCAAUGACUCUUUCCAUUUUUGUCGGCCUCGCAUUCAUCGAUGCUGAACCACUUUUUUCUUUUGAAAAACAAAUGUUUCGGUGGAUAACUUUGCAAAAAGAUAAUUUAAAAUGACAACUUUUAACGGUGGAUCUCUUGGCUCGU
rnacentral:misc_RNA from 1 species